CAGCCGCCACGGGAAUACGAAGGGGGCUAGCGUUGCUCGGAAUCACUGGGCGUAAAGGGUGCGUAGGCGGGUCUUUAAGUCAGGGGUGAAAUCCUGGAGCUCAACUCCAGAACUGCCUUUGAUACUGAAGAUCUUGAGUUCGGGAGAGGUGAGUGGAACUGCGAGUGUAGAGGUGAAAUUCGUAGAUAUUCGCAAGAACACCAGUGGCGAAGGCGGCUCACUGGCCCGAUACUGACGCUGAGGCACGAAAGCGUGGGGAGCAAACAGGAUUAGAUACCCCUGUAGUCCCUGUCUCUUAUAC
rnacentral:rRNA from 1 species